AACCUAGCACACCUGCGGUGUGUACCUGCGGAGGGAUCAUUAACGAGUUUUUGAAACGGGUUGUUGCUGGCUUCAAAACAGGAGCAUGUGCACGCCUGACUCAAUCCACUCUCAAACCCCUGUGCACUUAUUGUAGGCUUGGUGAUUGACGAGCUCGCAAGAGUUCUGAUAGAGCUUAGUCUAUGCUUUUACAAACGCUUCAGUUUAAGAAUGUUACUCGCGUAUAACGCAAUAAAUACA
rnacentral:misc_RNA from 1 species